AUUGUGACGAGUCCCAAAUAGGACGAAACGCGCGUCCUGGAU
rfam:Schistosoma mansoni strain Puerto Rico chromosome 3, complete genome